AGAGUUUGAUCUGGCUCAGGACGAACGCUGGCGGCGUGCUUAAUACAUGCAAGUCGAGCGAGGUUACUGUUUCGGAUCCCUUCGGGGUGAAGAAGCUUUAACCUAGCGGCGGACGGGUGAGUAACGCGUGGGUAACCUACCCCAAAGUCCGGGAUAACAGCGGGAAACCGCUGCUAAUACCGGAUGUCUUUACCUUGGGGCAUCUUGAGGUAAAGAAAGGCAACGCUUUGGGAUGGGCCCGCGUCCCAUUAGCUAGUUGGUGAGGUAACGGCUCACCAAGGCGACGAUGGGUAGCCGGCCUGAGAGGGUGGACGGCCACACUGGGACUGAGACACGGCCCAGACUCCUACGGGAGGCAGCAGUAGGGAAUAUUGCGCAAUGGACGGAAGUCUGACGCAGCGACGCCGCGUGAGCGAUGAAGGUCUUCGGAUCGUAAAGCUCUGUCCUUGGGGAAGAAGGCGAAAGCUUGACGGUACCCAAGAAGAAAGCCCCGGCUAACUACGUGCCAGCAGCCGCGGUAAU
rnacentral:rRNA from 1 species